rnacentral:rRNA from 1 species
AGAGUUUGAUCAUGGCUCAGAACGAACGCUGGCGGCAGGCCUAACACAUGCAAGUCGAGCGAAGUCUUCGGACUUAGCGGCGGACGGGUGAGUAACGCGUGGGAACGUACCCUUUGCUACGGAAUAGCCUCGGGAAACUGGGAGUAAUACCGUAUGUGCUCUUCGGAGGAAAGAUUUAUCGGCAAAGGAUCGGCCCGCGUUGGAUUAGCUAGUUGGUGGGGUAAAGGCCUACCAAGGCGACGAUCCAUAGCUGGUCUGAGAGGAUGAUCAGCCACAUUGGGACUGAGACACGGCCCAAACUCCUACGGGAGGCAGCAGUGGGGAAUAUUGGACAAUGGGCGCAAGCCUGAUCCAGCCAUGCCGCGUGAGUGAUGAAGGUCUUAGGAUUGUAAAGCUCUCUCACCGGUGAAGAUAAUGACGGUAACCGGAGAAGAAGCCCCGGCUAACUUCGUGCCAGCAGCCGCGGUAA